UACAGAGGUCUCAAGCGUUGUUCGGAUUCAUUGGGCGUAAAGGGUGCGUAGGUGGCGAGGUUAGUCAGGUGUGAAAUCUCGGGGCUCAACCCCGAAACUGCACUUGAUACUGCCUUGCUAGAGUACUGGAGAGGAGAUUGGAAUUUACGGUGUAGCAGUGAAAUGCGUAGAUAUCGUAAGGAAGACCAGUGGCGAAGGCGAAUCUCUGGACAGUUACUGACACUGAGGCACGAAGGCCAGGGGAGGCAAACGGG
rnacentral:rRNA from 1 species